UACGUAGGGGGCGAGCGUUGUCCGAAGUUACUGGGCGUAAAGGGCGCGCAGGCGGCUCAUUUUGUCAGGCGUGAAAGCCCCGGGCUUAACCUGGGAACUGCGUUUGAUACGGAUGGGCUAGAGUUCGGGAGAGGAGAGUGGAAUUCCCAGUGUAGAGGUGAAAUUCGUAGAUAUUGGGAAGAACACCGGUGGCGAAGGCGGCUCUCUGGACCGAUACUGACGCUGAGGAACGAAAGCUAGGGGAGCAAACGGG
rnacentral:rRNA from 1 species